rnacentral:misc_RNA from 1 species
GCAGUGCCUCAACACCGAAGAGGAGCUUCAAACGGCAUAGCAAUGACAUUACAGUCUCUUUUCAGAGCCGUGGCUCCAGCAUCUGCGGGUAUUAUAUUUUCAUGGGCACAAAGGCGCCAACAUGCUUCUUUCCUCCCAGGGGACCAAAUAGUAUUUUUCUUCUUGAAUGUGCUCGGGGUCAUCGCAUUGAUCAUGUGCUUUAAACCAUUCUUGGCAUUCCCUCCCAAAUGAAUUACAACAGAGCAACCAUGCAUAUGAUGAGAAGUGCUCAGUUGAAUAGGCGAGAAGCUGUCAUGCAAGCAAAAGGAUUAUUCCCUUUUUUAUCAAGUAAUAUGUCGCAUUACCGCAAUUCGAA